GAAUAGUACAGAAAUAAGGGAAAACUCAGGCUAAGAUCUUAACCCUGCAAACGCAGCUGGUAGAGAAACAUGCUGACUGUAGGACUAUGGGGAUUCACCCCACCAAGACUCAGUUAGCACAUGCUCUCAAAACUUGUCACCCUAAGGGCUGGGUGAGCUCAGUGGUAGAGCACUUGCCUAGCACGUGCAAGGCCCUGGGUUCAAUGCCCAGUGCGGCAACAAAAAGAAUUUCAAAACCCCAUGUCAUCCUCAGGUUCAGGGAGAGCAGUCAGAGCAGCUGUCUGUCCCCUGAGACUGGGCCUGGGAGGACUCACUUGGGAAGAUGCCUGGGGACUCAUCAAGGGUCCGGGGAAUUGCCACCAGUGCGGCUAAGGUCACUCCUUGAUGGCAAACUGAAACCUGUGAGCCAUGUUUUCUGUGACUCUCAGGAAUCCCUUCCACACCUCUGUCCUUAAAACAGGGAAGAGUAAUAAUGUCACUCAGUCCCUUUGUAAUGCUGGGACCACAGUGGCCUUUAGAGGAGAUCUCAUGGCUGCCCUGGGUCACCCCUGCUUCACAUCCCCUUGGUGACCAGUGGUCUCUUCCCACCUGAAUGCUGUCCAGACCCGACUCCUGGGGGCCAAGCCUUCCCCUCCACCCUCCACCAGUGCUCACCAGCUGCCCUGGGGCGCGGGAGGCUGUGACCCAGGCUUGGGUAGGGCUUCCCCCCUAGCCAGAGCCGUCCUGACAGCCCCAGGCUGCAGCCCCAGCCUGGAAGUGGCUGCCUGGAACAGAGCAGGAGGUUGCUCCCCGUGGCCCCUCUGGUCCCUCCCUUCCUCCUGUUGAAGGAGCAUGUGAGGAAUGGCUUGUCCUUAGCCCUGUGCAGAAGCUUCCAAAGAAACCGCUUCAAAGCCCUGGAGCAGGGGAGGGGGUUUAAAGGUUUGGAGAUGGAGCCAUCUGAGAAGAAAUGGCAGAACUUCAGAGCAGGAACAAGAGAGCAGGAGUUCCAAGCCUCUGUCGAUGGAGUUUCUAGCAAAACAGGAUGUUGGUUGCAGGAGCAACAGGACCCAGAUGCAAGCCAGGCUCAGAUGACCCCAUGGAGUACCAUCAGGAGACCAAUGGCCAGUUCAAAACUGUAUCGUAAAAGAGCUUCCAGUCCUGAAGCGCAAACUAUGCCAGUGGCCUCCAGGCUAAGUGACAGAGCAGGCACACAAAGACACAUGGCCUGUGACCUCACUCAUGGGGAA
rnacentral:lncRNA from 1 species